UACGUAGGGGGCAAGCGUUGUCCGGAUUCAUUGGGCGUAAAGAGCGUGUAGGCGGCCAGGUAGGUCGGUUGUGAAAACUGGAGGCUCAACCUUCAGAGGUCGACCGAAACCAUCUGGCUAGAGUCCGGGAGAGGAGGAGUGGAAUUCCUGGUGUAGCGGUGAAAUGACGCAGAUAUCAGGAAGAACACCCGUGGCGAAAGCGGCUCUCUGGAUCGGUACUGACGCUGAGAUGCGAAAGCGUGGGGAGCGAACAGG
rnacentral:rRNA from 1 species